AUACUUACCUGGCAGGGGAGAUACCAUGAUCAUGAAGGUGGUUUUCCCAGGGCGAGGCUUAUCCAUUGCACUCCGGAUGUGCUGACCCCUGCGAUUUCCCCAAAUGUGGGAAACUCGACUGCAUAAUUUGUGGUAGUAGGGGACUGCGUUCGCGCUUUCCCCUG
rnacentral:snRNA from 1 species